rnacentral:misc_RNA from 1 species
UCGUCAUCUCGCUUUCGGUUCCCUGUGUUGCAUACCUUCGAGACGGUAUCCUGUCGGCUAGAAUCGCCCCGUUUCACCCGACGUUGCGAGUAACAUCGCGACCGAAGGCGAACCGAAAAGCAUUCAUCGCGUUCCACCCCGUUCGCGUUACGCGCUGCGGGGCCCGGCCCACGAUGACGUGCUCGAAUUCUCGGAUGCGGAACACAA